CAGCCGCCGCGGGAAUACGAAGGGUGCAAGCGUUACUCGGAAUUACUGGGCGUAAAGCGUGCGUAGGUGGUGGUUUAAGUCCGUUGUGAAAGCCCUGGGCUCAACCUGGGAAUUGCAGUGGAUACUGGGUCACUAGAGUGUGGUAGAGGAUAGUGGAAUUUCCGGUGUAGCAGUGGAAUGCGUAGAGAUCGGAAGGAACAUCUGUGGCGAAGGCGACUAUCUGGGCCAACACUGACACUGAGGCACGAAAGCGUGGGGAGCAAACAGGAUUAGAUACCCGGGUAGUCCCUGUCUCUUAUAC
rnacentral:rRNA from 1 species